UAAUUGCUUCCUUUAAUUGAUUUGGUGAUU
rnacentral:piRNA from 1 species